AGCCUGUGCUGUUGGGGGCAAGAUGCUUAGGACCCGGUGCUACACAGAAGUUGUACUCGUGAAAUGUCCCGCAGUGAGCACCGGCUCCUACUUGAUUCUCUGGGCACAAAUUCUGUACUAACCCCCUGUAGCUCCAUUGUCAUGCCACCUUCAUUGCUGAGUCCAAGCACUCCCACACUGCUGCCUUCAGGAACACAACCAACAUCUGUCUGCCCAGGAACUGACACUUGGCCUUAACGAGCUCUGCUUUGGUGAAUACCAAGUACCUCCCACUCUUGCCAGUUGGGAAGGCAGGGAAAAAGAAGCUGAGUUUAACACUAACUCUUAAAGCCUGAAAAUCUGAGCACAACCAAUGGGUUGGAAGGAGUUUGCCGCAUUCAUGCUCUGGAAAGCAUCCCCUAAGGGGCUUCCCCCUUCAGGAGAAACAACCCUCUGGAAUCACACAGUGAACAAGAACCCUUUUUCCCCUGGGAGACCCGACAGCAGCAGCAGAACAGCAGAGCAUCCGUCAUGCACCACCGUGCCAGGAGGAGGAAGGGGGGGGGGGCUUUGCCUUGUACCACUGGCUGCCAGUGCCUUCCAUCUAUUUAUUUUUGAUGAAGGGUUCUAGUUCCUGCAGAAGAGCAUGGGACAGUGCCUGGUGGGGCAGAGGGUUGGGUCCUUGUUCACAUUGCCCUCACAUGUUGUCUGCCUGUGUUGCAGGGGUGGCUGAAAUCAGCCUGGUUCUUGAGCACCACAGCGUCCACUCAUGAGGACAAGGAGAGGAUGUAACUUCUCUUCAGACUGGCCUCUGUAUGUCAGAAGCUCUUAUGCUGCUCUCUAGACAGAGCUUUCCAGCAGUGUAACCUGACAUCCACAUGCACCUCUAUCCCACACCAGAACCCAAAGGAAGAAGCAGAGAGCGAGCUAUACAGCCCUGGAAAGAGGAUGUGAGAAAAUGGCCAACAGGUCCACUGUGUUGUACUGCUGAUCCAGGGUUGGCUUGUAAGGUGUAGGUCCUCACCCUUGCUCCAAAUUACUGCUGCCCACUCUUGGGGUAGUGCCUAAAGCAGUCAGAUCAUUGCUCUGAUCUCAUGUUCUCUCUGGUCCACAACUGUAGCAACAUCAGAGUAAAACCAUACCUCUGUAUGGACCUGCACACUGGCAAAGCACAGGGAAAACAGAGGGACAUAAUAUAUAUGUUAUUUGCAGAGGGCUAUGUACACCACUGGGGCUUGCUGACCCAACCUUCUUCUGAAAUCAUUCUAGAGGACCAUUUAUUUGUCCAUGCGUAUGUAUAUAUAUAGACUUAGGUCUAUUUGGGGGUGUGAAUACAUGUGUAUGGGACGGGAAAUGAAGAAGCAUAUUGAAUAAUGCAUGAGAGAGAUGGCAGAUUACAAUGCUUUUUCUAAAAUAACUAAUAGCAGCAAUAAAGCAAAAGCCUGAGAGGGCUGUCA
rnacentral:lncRNA from 1 species